CAAAAGUUUGAUUCUAGCUUGUUAAGUUUGCUUUUUUAUAAUUGUACAUGUGUAUUUUUGUGUGAUUAUUUUUAUCUAAAUGUUUAAUUUUUAGUUAGUCGCAGUUCUUUAUUUUAUAAAAUUACAUGAUUGUAGAUAUAGUUAAUAUAAUAAGUUUUGACUAAUAUUGUGCCAGCAGUCGCGGUUAUACAAUAGAAACAAGUAAAUUUUUAUUGAUUUAUAUUUAAUUUAAAAUUUAUUAUUUAAUUUUAAAAUUUUGGGGUGAAAUCCAAAUUUAUUGUUAAAGUGAUUUUUAUGAUUAAAUAUGAUAGUUCAUUGUGAGACUGGGAUUAGAGACCCCAUUAUUAUGAAUAGUAAAUUUGUAAUCUUAGUAUUAAUAGUUAUGAUCUUUAAAUUAAAAGAAUUUGGCGGUAAUUUAGUCUGUUCAGAGGAAUCUGCCCUGUAAUCGAUAAUCCACGAUGAAUUUUACUUUAUCUAUGCUUGUAUAUCUCUGUCAUUGAAUGUCUUAUUAGGGUAUUUUCAUUAAUCUUUAUUGUGGAAAAUGUCAGGUCAAGGUGCAGCAAUGAUAAAGAAGAGGUGGAUUACAUUAAAUAUAUUUAUGGAUAGGAUUAUGGAAAUAAUUCUUUAAAUUGGAUUUGAAAGUAACUUUUAUUAGAAUAUAAAGUUGAUUUAGCUCUAAAUUAUGCACAUAUCGCCCGUCACUCUCGUUAUUUAAAAUGAGAUAAGUCGUAACAAAGUAGGUUUACUGGAAGGUGGGCCUGGUAUUAU
rnacentral:ncRNA from 1 species